UGAGGAAUAUUGGGCAAUGCCCGAGAGGGUGACCCAGCAACGCCGCGUGGAGGAUGAAGGUCGUAAGAUUGUAAACUCCUGUUAGAGGGGAAGAAUAACUAAGUUUGGAGCUUAGUAUGACUGUACCCUCAGAGAAAGCCCCGGCUAACUACGUGCCGGCAGCCGCGGUAAUACGUAGGGGGCAAGCGUUGUCCGGAUUUACUGGGUGUAAAGGGCGCGCAGGCGGGAUAAAAAGUCAGUGGUGAAAUCCUACAGCUUAACUGUAGAACUGCCUUUGANACUUUUAUUCUUGAGUUCGGGAGAGAAAGACGGAAUUCCAGGUGUAGUGGUGAAAUACGUAGAUAUCUGGAAGAACACCAGUUGCGAAGGCGGUCUCUUGGUCCGACACUGACGCUGAGGCGCGAAAGCGUGGGGAGCAAACAG
rnacentral:rRNA from 1 species